AUGCUUGUCAAACCAGAAUUAUGACAUUACACGUUAACGUGUGCAGAAAAAGGAAGUUCGCGGAAGCUAAUUAGCGCUUCUAGCGAAGCUCACGAGUGACAAGUUCCUGUUCGGGUCAAGCUGAAGUAUCGUAGCACCCGUUAUGGAAGUUUCAACGGGAAUGUGCUUAUUAUUUAUACAAAAGCGGUUCAGUUUGAAUAAAAAGGGAUGCCUUCAAGGCACUGGAAUGUUAAGUGAUGGCAAUUGGCAGGAGGUAUUAUCCUAGCGUCCGUUCUACUUGAAAUACGUUACCAAUCAUUAGAAUUUAUGAGCGAACAAAUUGUAGACAGGACAUUCAAGGCGCUUAUUAGUGAAUUUAUAAAGAUUAAGUGAGUUUGUUUAAUAGGUUUAUUUUCAAUGAUUUGUCUGAUUUGAGGUAUUACGUUGGAUGAUGAUUUCCUGAAGUUCAUUCGAAGUUAAUAUGAUUAAUGAAACCUCGUAAGGCAAACUGAUCAAUAUUUUUUUCAAAUAUUAACAAUGUGUUGACUGAUACAUAACAUUGCCUUUUCUUCUUUUAUAAAGGUACGUAUUUAAGGUUCUUUCUUACCUACAAAGAAGGAUGCCAAAAAAUAGUCAUUGUUGGCACUGUCUAGAAAUGAAAAAUUCAUGUAGAACCUUUAAAAAUGUUUUCCAUGGAACAAAAUAUCCCUUGAUACGAAAAACAAGUUGCUAAAAAUGAAUUCAAACAUAAACUGUGAACCACAAGACAUGCUUCGAUGUUCGGUUUGUACAGCAAGGAUCUAAUAUUAAGCGAUGGAAGUAGACCGAGAUUGCUUAACUUUUUCAUCAAUUCGGCGCGUUGGAUAUUUAGCAAAGGACACUGCCAAAGCAUAUGGUUCAGGUCUUGUGUUUCAAAGCCGCAGUUGCAUUUGACGUCUUCUACAAUAUGGAUACGCGCCAGGGAUGCAGAGAGGUCUGAUCUACAUCGAUUGAUCAUAACUAUAACUAUAAACCAUGUGUUGACACUGUACCCAAAAUAAUACCGAAAUAAUUCUUUUCUUGUUGUCUGUCCUUGCUGCUGAAUGAAUGCAUUCUGAAACCAUUUUCAAAAUAAUUGAUUAAAAAAAUUAGCUAAUAAAUUAAUUGAAGUUUGAAAUCAAGCGUGAUCAAAGUACGAUAAAAUCAUUGCUACAUGGGUAGAACAAUCAAUAACGCGCUUACCGUUUUGCAUCCGGAGACGAAUAUUAUAAGUUCAAUAAUUUACAAUUAAAGUUAUAAUAUACAUAUAUAAUUUGAUCGGUUACCAGUAAUUUCGGGACCCAAAUAGUAACUCGGGACUCGAAAUUCAGUGUCGGUUACAUUUGAUUAAACAAGAUAAUAUGAAAAUACUUUCAAGCUGAAAAAUGUAUGGUAAAUCUGGGAAAUCAUGUUUCCGAAUUUAGUUUUGGACCUCGAGUCGAAUUCGGCUCCCGAAAUGACAGGUAUUCGAAUAAAUGUACUUAUGUACUGGAUAAAUUUUCGGAAUUCGACGAAAAUUCUCGACUAGAUCUCGAUCCGAUUUCCAGCUGAAUUUUCCGGUUUCUGCCCAUCCCUACUUAAGUGAGUUCAAUCAUUAUCAUAUAUAUAUACAUGUUUAAAUCGAUUUUCAACAACUUUUCCAUCAUUUUUCUCGAGAAAAUGAUAAGGACAUUUUUAAAGGUUCUAUAUUCUACAUGAUUGUUAUUUCCGGACGAUGUCAAAAUUGGCCAUUUUUUAACAUUCUCCUUUGAAGAUAAAUACCUAAAAGCAAUAUUUAAACCUUGUUAUUUCUUUCUACUUCAUAUUUUACACAAUCGAUCACUUUAGUUUAUGGAAAAUAAUAAGAAUAAAGGAUAAUUAAAAUAAAAAUAUCAAUAAAUAAUAGCUUAUGUAAAGGAAGAAUGCAAUGUACUUACGAAUUAAUGUGAUAUACAGUUAUUUCAAUUAAUUU